rnacentral:pre_miRNA from 1 species
AGGAGGAACAGCCCCAGUGGCGGGGCCAGCUCUGCAGCCCUGGCUUCGGCCCCCGCAGUAGCUCCGGAGCUCUCGGUCUGCAGGGCCUGGAGGCUCCAGGGCGGG